rnacentral:rRNA from 1 species
GCCAGACUCCUACGGGAGGCAGCAGUGGGGGAUAUUGCACAAUGGGGGAAACCCUGAUGCAGCGACGCCGCGUGGGCGAAGAAGUAUUUCGGUAUGUAAAGCCCUAUCAGCAGGGAAGAAGAAAUGACGGUACCUGAGUAAGAAGCCCCGGCUAACUACGUGCCAGCAGCCGCGGUAAUACGUAGGGGGCAAGCGUUAUCCGGAUUUACUGGGUGUAAAGGGGGCGCAGACGGCGAUGCAAGCCAGGAGUGAAAGCCCGGGGCCCAACCCCGGGACUGCAUUUGGAACUGUGUGGCUGGAGUGUCGGAGAGGCAGGCGGAAUUCCUAGUGUAGCGGUGAAAUGCGUAGAUAUUAGGAGGAACACCAGUGGCGAAGGCGGCCUGCUGGACGAUGACUGACGUUGAGGCUCGAAAGCGUGGGGAGCAAACAGGAUUAGAUACCCCUGUA